rnacentral:rRNA from 1 species
GACAGAGGGUGCAAACGUUGUUCGGAAUUACUGGGCGUAAAGCGCGUGUAGGCGGCUAUGUAAGUCGGGCGUGAAAUCCCACGGCUCAACCGUGGAAGUGCACCCGAAACUGCGUAGCUAGAGUCCUGGAGAGGAAGGUGGAAUGCUUGGUGUAGAGGUGAAAUUCGUAGAUAUCAUGAGGAACACCGGUGGCGAAGGCGGGUCUCUGGGCAGUAACUGACGCUGAGGAACGAAAGCGUGGGUAGCGAACAGG